CAGCUCGUUAUGCUCGGGGCCAACGGUCGGUGUCGAGGGAAGUCUGGUGCGAAUCCAGCGCGGUCCCGCCACUGUGACCGGGUUCACGCUCGCCGCAAGCCGAUGGCAAGCCACUGGGUCCUCCACUGCGGACCUGGGAAGGCGCGGCGAGUACGCCCGGGAGCCAGGAGACCUGACUCCGGCCAGCUGAGAAC
rnacentral:ncRNA from 2 species